UUUUUUUUUUUUUUUUUUUGAGACGGAGUCUCGCUGUGUCUCCCAGGCUGGAGUGCAGUGGCGUGAUCUCGGCUCACUGCAAACUCCGCCUCCGGGUUCACGCCAUUCUCCCGCCUCAGCCUCCCAGUAGCUGAGACUACAGGCUGCCCAACCGGCUAGUUUUUGUAUUUUUAGUAGAGACGGGGUUUCACCAUGUUAGCCAGGAUAGUCUCGAUCUCCUGACCUCGUGAUCCACCCGCCUCGGCCUCCCAAAGUGCUGGGAUUACAGGCUUGAGCCACCGUGCCUGGCAAAUGAAUUUUUUAAUAGCACAUGUACUGCACAAAUUCCACAGCAACACGGUGUGUUGUAUUUUGUUUUCCACAUUCACACCUCCCAGUACAUGAUGACAUGUAUUUGAGAGUGGAGAGAAACUUCAGAAGCAUAUCUGAGUUCUUCCAGGACAAUUUCUAUAUCUAAUCUACCAACUCUUUAGAGGUCAGUCUUGUAAAAUCGUCUCUUUGAUUUUCCCUGAGGGAUGCAGUUACUUUGGUUGCAUUCGGCCCUGAAAAAUUUCACUGCAAAUUCAGUCAGUGACCCAUGCCAAAGAACACAAUAUAGCUACCCAAACCUUAAGAUGUUUCUAUGGUAUGAUACAUUUCAAAUGAGGUCCAUUUGCCAUGCCACCACCAUAACUGACAAAAUAUACUUUCUCUGCUCCACACAGUACUUCUUUAAAUUCACAGUCUUUCUUUCAAGAUUUGAACAUUUAGAAUUGUAUUGUACACUGACAGCACUUAAUAUACCCAUAAGGGGAAUGAAAGAGAUAUUUGGAUAUAUUUUCAAAAUUUGAAGACAAUAUGUUUACUGCCAAAUUUGCUGUGUCUCAGUGUUGCCACUCUUUACUGUAAGAGGAAUACUGACAUUCCAGUGGUGUCUCAUAAACUAAAAGGGUGGAUUCUAAAUUACAAGCUAUCUUGUUUAAGAUACAAAAUCACUGACAUUGUCUAAAUCUAUUUUUGUGAUGAUAAUAAAAAUACUUUAAUUAUAAUCCAUUGCUCUCAGAAAGUUAUAGGACAAUAUCCAAAUGAGAAGCCAUCAGCUUGUGAAUAUAUAAAUAGUUGUGCAAGAAUAAGUUAAAUUAGUGAAUAUCUCUUUAGGACAAAUUGUCAACAUGUAUACUUAUACAACAGUUUAGUUGGUGAGGGGAAGGUAUGCAACAUAUAUUCUGCCAAAAUAAAAGCCCAUAACAUUCUGACAACUAAUCCAUAUCUCUCGUCUUUGCUGUCCUAUCUGGAAAUGGCUGAAAUGCUUAACAUUUUUGGUUCUGAUCACAUAGUCAGAGUAUGUGUGACCCAUUAGGUUGGUUUCUCUAGCAGAUUUCUGUAACUGGAAGUGCCAUUUAGGGAGAUAUCCACAAAGUGUGUGGUAUUGGUGAUGUGACUGCUACCUUCCUCUUUCUCUAACAAGUUUUAUUAAUGCAGCAAAUAUCAUAUGGAAGGGCAUACUGUUCUCCAGAAAAUUUAGAAUGAUAAAAAAUAUCUAACCCAAAUCAAUCUGGCAAAGUUGAGCUGCUACCU
ensembl:lncRNA